UUCUGGCCUCCUAUGUUGUCGCAGAAAAGAAACCCAGAUGAUGGAGAUGGUCCGGCGGAUGGUGAUAAUCCCGAUGAUAAGCGUAGAAAGUUUUGUUUAUGGAGCGUGGUUCGUGAUGCCACAUCAUUGCAAUCAAUGCAACAACUAUUGGAGCCAGUCAUUCGUAAAGUGGUAAGGGAGGAGAUUGAAUCUGCACUAAGAAAGUACAUUACCAAUGUGCAAAGGAAUGACGAGAAUGAUGGGAAAGAAAUCUAUUCUUCCGGGCCGAGAUGCUUUCAAUUGAAGUUUAUAACUGAUAUUUCUCUCCCGGUAUUUACUGGAGCUCGCAUUGAAGGAAGAGAUGGUUCCAGCUUGAUGGUGGCUUUGGUUGACACCUUAACUGGGGAAGUUGUUGGCACUGGGUCUCAAUCCUCAGCCAAAGUGGAAAUUGUAGUGCUCGAGGGUGAUUUUGAGGGUGGAAGUGAUAGUUACACUGCAG
rnacentral:misc_RNA from 1 species